UACGUAGGGUGCGAGCGUUAAUCGGAAUUACUGGGCGUAAAGGGCGCGUAGGCGGCACUGUUAGUCAGGCGUGAAAGUCCUGGGCUCAACCUGGGAACUGCGCUUGAUACGGCAGAGCUAGAGGAUGGAAGAGGCUCGCGGAAUUCCCAGUGUAGAGGUGAAAUUCGUAGAUAUUGGGAAGAACACCGGUGGCGAAGGCGGCGAGCUGGUCCAUUACUGACGCUGAGGCGCGACAGCGUGGGGAGCAAACGGG
rnacentral:rRNA from 1 species